rnacentral:misc_RNA from 1 species
GAUGAAGAACGUAGCGAAAUGCGAUAACUAAUGUGAAUUGCAGAAUUCCGUGAAUCAUCGAGUCUUUGAACGCACAUUGCGCCCCCUGGUAUUCCGGGGGGCAUGCCUGUCCGAGCGUCAUUGCAACCCUCAAGCACGGCUUGUCUAAUGGGCGGUUCGUCUGCGGCCAUCCGCCGGAGACGCCCCCGAAAUGCAGUGGGGAUGUUCGCUAAAUCGCAGCGUCAGGAAUGGAAAUAAACAAUGCUGACGGCUCGAUGUCGAACGUCCACCUAAGGCGUGCCGCCCCCCCGGGGAGUGCCGCCCAACCUCUCUCGGUUGACCUCGGAUCAGGUAGGGAUACCCGCUGAACUUAAGCAUAUCAAUAAGCGGAGGA